UGUUUGUGCGCGCGUGCGUGCGUAUUUGUGCGCGCGCACCUGGGAGGCGGUUGGUGCCAACCUUGCGACCCGAGUUCGAUUCCCGCUCACGGUCAACACCAGUGACGAUUAUUCUGAACCGGUCCUGGGCCUCCCCUAGGUCGACUCAGCCUCAAAUAAGUACCUGGUGGGAGUUACUCUGGUGGGAGUUGUUUGACGACGCGUCGCCGCGCUGUCUCCUACAACCCAGGGUUCCCCAACCCCCGGGCCGCUACCGGUCCGUGUCCUGUUAGGAACCGGGCCGCACAGCACGAGGUGAGAGCGACUUGGCCCGACCCUCAACUUAUGCAGCUGUCUCUCUACGGUGGUGUCAAGACGAUUCACAGUCCGCGGGGGGGAGUUGAGCUCGCUGUGCGACUGGCAGCAAAAGUUGACUUAAUUUAAAACAGCGAGUGUUCAAACCCCACCCGCAGUUCUCUUUGACCCCCAAGACGCUGCCGUUGCCCCUUGUGACCGGGAGGACGGCUUAGCGGUGACGACAUUCACAGUCGCCGUCUUCACGCGCCGCAUCCCGUGGAAGGACUUUGCGAGGAGCGUCGUCGUGAGCGCGACGGAGGGACGAAUCAUCCCACGGCGACGCGAGCCGUGGCAAACGCAGCGCGCCACGUGCUGUCACAACUCCCCGUUCGUGCAACCACGUGAUUAGUUUUCAUCAGCCACGGUCAAUCCACUCCUUGUAAAUGAUCCCGCAAUCCGAUAAUCCGCCUAGCACCCUUCGCGCUAGCUCAUUUCAUCGCUCCAUCUACUCGGCCGCGUGUUCGCGGAAUGAUUCCAUGCUUUGGUUGCCACUCCGUUAUGAAUCGUCACCAUCCAUCAUCAUCAUCGUCCCUGCUAGCUCUGACGUGUCUUGGUUUGAAUCACGACGUUACCUGUGUGUGUGUUUUCGAAUGCACGUGUAACCUACCGCUUCCUUACUCUCAAUGUAAUUCCAAAUGAUACAUCGCUUCAUACUUGUACGUGCAUUUUUCAG